rnacentral:misc_RNA from 1 species
UAUAUUGCAGCUGCCCAGCUGAACGCCCGUUACCGACUACAGCCUGGUCAAGUGGGCAGUCUGUGCAGCGGCCUGACGCCGGGAGAUUGUCGGAAGGACGUUCCAUAUGUCCUGACCCGCAGUGUUGUGGAGUGUGCUAUCCGCUGCACCAAACACCCUGGCUGUAAGUCUUUCAGCUUCCAGAUCCGCCCAAACAGCGCCCGACACACCCAUCGCUGUGAGAUGGCCCCCGACAAGGUGCAUACCAUCCAGGUCGCUGCCAAAAAUGGCUCAGGUUAUGAAUAUUACAAAAAUGUAUCCUGAAACUUGUACCAAUAAAAUAUCAUGGCCGA